UACGGGGGGGGCAAGCGUUGUUCGGAAUUACUGGGCGUAAAGGGCGCGUAGGCGGCCUUCUAAGUCGAACGUGAAAUCCCCGGGCUCAACCCGGGAACUGCGUCCGAUACUGGAAGGCUUGAAUCCGGGAGAGGGAUGCGGGAAUUCCAGGUGUAGCGGUGAAAUGCGUAGAUAUCUGGAGGAACACCGGUGGCGAAGGCGGCAUCCUGGACCGACACUGACGCUGAGGAGCGAAAGCCAGGGGAGCAAACGGG
rnacentral:rRNA from 1 species